GACGAACGCUGGCGGCGUGCUUAACACAUGCAAGUCGAACGGAAAGGCCCUGCUUUUGUGGGGUGCUCGAGUGGCGAACGGGUGAGUAACACGUGAGUAACCUGCCCUUGACUUUGGGAUAACUUCAGGAAACUGGGGCUAAUACCGGAUAGGAGCUCCUGCUGCAUGGUGGGGGUUGGAAAGUUUCGGCGGUUGGGGAUGGACUCGCGGCUUAUCAGCUUGUUGGUGGGGUAGUGGCUUACCAAGGCUUUGACGGGUAGCCGGCCUGGGAGGGUGACCGGGCGCAACGGGGCAGAGAAAACGGCCGGACUCAGAGGGGAGCAAUCGGUGGGGAAUAGGGAUCGACGGUCGGAAGUCUGAAGCAGCAAAACCGGGUGCGGGACGAUGGACAUCGGGUUGGAAACGGCAUUCACCUGGGACGAAGCGUGAGUGACGGUAAGGGGUAAAGAAGCGCCGGCUAACUACGUG
rnacentral:rRNA from 1 species